GAUGAACGCUAGCUACAGGCUUAACACAUGCAAGUCGAGGGACCGGCGCACGGGUGAGUAACACGUAUCCAACCUGCCCUCUACUCGGGGAUAGCCUUUCGAAAGAAAGAUUAAUACCCGAUAUAAAGGAUGGGGAUGUGUUCCAUUAGGUUGUUGGUGAGGUAACUGCGAACCAAGCCUUCGAUGGAUAGGGGUUCUGAUAGGAAAGUCGCCGACAUUUGAACUGGGACACUGGCCAAACUCCUACGGGUGGCAGCAGUGAGGAAUAUUGGUCAAUGGACGCUAGCCUGUAACAGCCAAGUAUCGUUAAGGAGGAAGGCGUAUGAGUGGUAAACUGCUUUAAUAUAAGAAUAGGUAUUAUAUUAAUAAGGUUCGUCUAACUACGUGACAGCAGCCGCGGUAAUAC
rnacentral:rRNA from 1 species